rnacentral:tRNA from 1 species
AGGACUGUAGUUAACUAUAAUAUUUGAUUUGCACUCAAAAGGUAUUGAAUUCAAUCUGUCUUA